AAAACACGUUCUUAGUUAUUGGGGAAAGCGUAUUUGCAUAGGUUUAUUACAGAAUAUACAUGAGUUGUUUCCCUUUGCAUAUGGACAACCUAUUUCGUUAUUGACUGACUAUCGAUGGUUGUUAAACUAGGAUAUCUUAAGUGCAUGGUGCAUCCUUUUAUGCCAUGACUUCAAAAUGGUGGCAUGUUAAUUCAAUCUGUGUGUAUGUGUGGUGUAAUACCAAAGACUAGGCUUCAAGAGAGUACAAGGUAGAGACCUCAAACAUGUGAGUUGCACGAUGAACAAACCAAACUCAACAUACUUUCCCAACACCCCUCACUCCGAGAAAGUGGUUUGUGCUUAUGUUUCAUAAUCAUAUCUUCCUUUUCACUAAAGAACUCAAUGGAAAGAAGUCCAUGUUUAGUGUGAUGCUACUCUUCGCUAAAGAUGUCAAUAGCACACACUCAAUAGAGGUAUAGUAAGAGUUUUGAUAAUAGUCUAGAACAAUUGGAACACAACUCCAAUAGGAAAAGG
rnacentral:lncRNA from 1 species